AUGAUUGUAGAUGCCCCUGCUUGGGUCUUUGAGGAAAUUAAUAAGUGGUUUAGAUCGUUCUUUUGGGAUGGAAAGGAUAAGGCGAAUGGUGGUCAAUGUCUAGUCGCUUGGGAUACAAUCUGCCGACCCAAAUGCUAUGGAGGUUUAGGUAUCAAGAACUUGAACUGGCAAGCACGAGCACUAAGAGUCCGGUGGGAGUGGCUAAAGCACACUAAGCCAAACAGACCUUGGUAGGGAUUGCAUAUGAUCGAGGAUCGGGACACACCGGAGCUCUUUGACAGCCAUGUACAUAUCGCUAUUGGUGUGGGAGACAUGAUCCUUUUUUGGCGAGAUCAAUGGAUACAUGGAUUUACAAUUGCGGAUAUCGCCCCUUUGCUACAAGGCACGGUCCAUGCGAGGGUGGCCAACGUACGGAUAGUGCAACAAGUAUUGAUCAAUGAUAGAUGGAGGGAGGACUGCCAGGUUGCUUCUUUCAUGGCCCAAAUGCAGUUUGUUCACCUUUGCCAUGCGAUCACCAUGAUGGAUAGAAACCAGGAGCAACGGGAUGAGUUACUUGGAUGUGCACCGCGUUUGGACAGUACUCUGCUAGCGCGAUAUAUGCCAGCUUGUACUCUAGCCUACCGAGGUCGCCUAUGGGCACAUGUGUGUGGAGGAGCUCGGCGCCACUAA
rnacentral:rRNA from 1 species